UACGGGGGGGGCGAGCGUUAUUCGGAAUUAUUGGGCGUAAAGGGCGCGUAGGCGGCUUGAUGUGUCAAAGGUGAAAUCCCUCGGCUCAACUGAGGAACUGCCUUUGAAACUGUCUGGCUUGAGGCCGGGAGAGGGUAGCGGGAAUUCCCAGUGUAGCGGUGAAAUGCGUAGAUACUGGGAGGAACACCGGUGGCGAAGGCGCUACCUGGACCGGUUCUGACGCUGAUGCGCGAAAGCGUGGGUAGCAACAG
rnacentral:rRNA from 1 species